GUGAGAAAUUCCUAGGAGAGAGGGAUGAUUAAAAGUGUAUACUCAGUUUUUGCUGUUUCUUAUCAGGAGCUAUAAUCAU
ensembl:miRNA